rnacentral:rRNA from 1 species
GGAUGGGUCUGCGGCCGAUUAGGUAGUUGGUUAGGUAAUGGCUUACCAAGCCGUUGAUCGGUACGGGUUGUGAGAGCAAGAGCCCGGAGAUGGAACUGAGACAAGGUUCCAGGCCCUACGGGGUGCAGCAGGCGCGAAACCUCCGCAAUGUGAGAAAUCGCGACGGGGGGAUCCCAAGUGCCAUUCUUAACGGGAUGGCUUUUCAUUAGUGUAAAGAGCUUUUGGAAUAAGAGCUGGGCAAGACCGGUGCCAGCCGCCGCGGUAACACCGGCAGCUCUAGUGGUAACAAUUUUUAUUGGGCCUAAAGCGUCCGUAGCCGGUUUAAUAAGUCUCUGGUGAAAUCCUGUAGCUUAACUGUGGGAAUUGCUGGAGAUACUAUUAGACUUGAGACCGGGAGAGGUUAGAGGUACUCCCAGGGUAGAGGUGAAAUUCUGUAAUCCUGGGAGGACCGCCUGUUGCGAAGGCGUCUAACUGGAACGGUUCUGACGGUGAGGGACGAAAGUUAGGGGCGCGAACCGGAUUAGAUACCCGGGUAGUCCUAACUGUAAACGAUGCGGACUUGGUGUUGGGGUGGCUUUGAGCUGCUCCAGUGCCGAAGGGAAGCUGUUAAGUCCGCCGCCUGGGAAGUACGGUCGCAAGACUGAAACUUAA